rnacentral:lncRNA from 1 species
GAACUCUCAGGGAUCGCCACUCUCCCUAAUUCCAUUGGAAGGUUAACGAAUUUCAAGCAUUUGUCUUUUUCUGGAUGUGAGAAUCUACUUGAGCUUCCGGACUCUAUUGGGGAACUACAAUCAUUGUUUGAGUUGGAUUUAAACCUCUCGGGGAUAUCCGCUCUCCCUAAUUCCAUUGGAAGAUUAGAGAAUCUCAAGCAUUUGCGUUUACGUGAAUGCAAAAAUUUACACGAGCUUCCGGACUCUAUUGGGGAACUAAAAUCAUUGGUCAAGUUGGACUUAGAACUCUCAGGGAUCGCCACUCUCCCUAAUUCCAUUGGAAGGUUAACGAAUUUCAAGCAUUUGUCUUUUUCUGGAUGUGAGAAUCUACUUGAGCUUCCGGACUCUAUUGGGGAACUACAAUCAUUGUUUGAGUUGGAUUUAAACCUCUCGGGGAUAUCCACUCUCCCUAAUUCCAUUGGAAGAUUAGAGAAUCUCAAGCAUUUGCGUUUACGUGAAUGCAAAAAUUUACACGAGCUUCCGGACUCUAUUUGGGAACUAAGAUCAUUGGUUGAGUUGGAUUUAAAAUU